UUUUAUACUCCCUCCGUUUCAAUUUACAUGUCCACUUUCAAAAAAAAAAUUUGUUUCAAAUUACUUGUCCACUUACACUUUCAAUGCAAAAUCAUAUUUCCAAAGUCAAUUUUCCUCCACAUAUCUCUUAUUUAUAUUUCCUAGAUCAAUCUCACACCACAUAUUAUGCUCAUUUAAUGCAAUUAAUUUGUGAACAACUACUUUUCUUCACUUUUCUUAAACUGUGUGAUUUUUUUAAAGUGGACAUCUAAUUUGAAACGGAGGUAGUAUUAUUACGAGACGAAAGUAUGUCACAGAUAGAGAACGGGAAAAAAUUGUUAUCGAUUAUUUAUUUAUUUAUUUAUGGUACACUGAAUAUCAUCUUAGGUAUUAGAUUAAUAACCAGUGGACAUGUUAUUUGGUUCCCGAGUUACUUGAAAUCAGUUACAUUGUCAAAAAUGAUAUCUCACCUAUUGUAACAGAGGAAAACGACACGAAAUCAUGCAACCGUUAGAGAGAUCUCUCCUUGCAAUAUUUUAAUUGAAUUUUAAUAAUUCUGUAACAAAUUUGACAGGGAUGAGUUGUUGUAUCUUGAAAAAAAUCACUAUAAUUCGACAGAUAAUGGCAUUAGUUGUGUGGGGUUGUUUUCGUUUAGAAUUUUGUAACUAAAUUAAAUUAUUAUCGGAGUUGUUAUCUUAGGUAAUUCAGCUGUCCAUCCUUAGAGCAUCCAAGGCUCCUUACUUGAAAAAUAUGCCAGGUGGAACAAAACAGGGAUUUAUCUUCCUAAUUGCAAUUCCAUUGAGAUAAUCCUGAUCAAAAAAAUUUAGUAUAUUUAAGAAUGGAGCUCCUUGAAGCGCCUUGCCAGCGCCCGUAAGCCAGCAGCGCUCUAGAGCGCCUUGCCAGCGCCUUUGGAGCACCUUGCCAGCGCCCUUGGAGCACCUUGCCCUAUUUUUGUACCAUAUCGAUUACAAUACGUUAUAAUGUUAUGAAUGUAAGGAAUGACUUGGUUUAUGAGUUUGUAAAUAUAAACCAGGUUGGCGCCACCCCGUCGCUCCCCGGCGCUUAGGCGCCACCCCGUCGCCGGUGCAAUUCUAUUUUCUUUGAACUAUUUUUGUACCACAUCGAGAACAUAAUGAUAUAUUCUCAUGAAUAUAAUCGGUGAUAUAAUUAUUAGAGAAAAUGGGUAACCCCUGUCGCCGUGGUGCAAGCCCCACCCCUGUCGCCAAUUCAAAUCUUAUUUCCCCACAACCACCUUUGUACCACAUCGAGAAGAUGAUAAUAUAUUCUCAGGAAUAUAAGCAAGAGCUUAGCUAUUAAGUUAAGAAUAUAUUAGUCGAGGCAGGCGCCGCCCUGUCUCCAACCCCGAGGCGCCGCCCUGGCGCCCACUCAAAUGUUAUUUUCUUAAACCAAUUUCUUCGUACCACAUCGAGAAGGAGUAAAAGGAGGGUCACUCCUUUCCUUAUAUAUACACAACACAUGCUAGCUUAUUCUAAUUAGGAAGCGCCGCUGCUAAAUUUGAUAUGUCUACUUAUUAAUUCCUAAUUUGUGAUUUAUUUUUAUAGUUUGUUAGCUCAGUUAUUAGGCUAGAUGUAAUUAUAGUAGUAAUAUCGGCGUGACUUAUGAUUAAUAUAUGUGUGAACAUUUUAGGGUAUGAAGUUGUAGACUCGAGAACGUUGUGCACUGGAAGAAUUUUGGAGAAGGAUAUUAAGGAUAAUGCUAGGUGAAGAGUGUGAGCUGUUAAGUAUCCAAUAGUCAAGAGAAAUAUUCAGGGAAAUGUUCAAGGUUGGUCUCAGAUAGAAUUGUGUAAUUGAGAUUCAGUUGUAAACUAUAGUUGUAGUAGAUUAAUAGUGAUUCUUCUUAUCGAAGUUGAUCUGAUAACGGUAGUAGUUGAUUCUAAUUUCAAUAAUGUAACUUGGAUGCGAUCCUGUUGUUUUAGUGGGUUAAAAUGUUCUCUUUUAAAUAUUU